rnacentral:rRNA from 1 species
GUCUUUUUGAAGUUAAUUUAAAGUCUAAUCUGCCCACUGAUAAAUAUUAAAGGGCUGCAGUAUAUUGACUGUACAAAGGUAGCAUAAUCAUUAGUUUUUUAAUUGAAAACUUGUAUGAAGGAUUUGAUGAAAUAAUAACUGUCUCUAAAUUAAAAAUAUAAUUUUAUUUUUUAGUAAAAAAGCUAAAAUAAAUUUAAAAGACGAGAAGACCCUAUAGAGUUUUAUAAAAAAAUUAUUUAAAAUUUUAUAUUUAAUUUUUAAAUUUAAUUAAGUUUUAUAUUUUAUUGGGGUGAUAGAAAAAUUAAAUUAACUUUUUUUAAAUAAUAGAUAUUAAUGAAUAAAUAAAUGAUCCAUAAAUAAUGAUUAUAAGAAAAAAUUACCUUAGGGAUAACAGCGUAAUAUUAUUUUUUAGUUCAAAUAAAAAAUAAAGUUUGCGACCUCGAUGUUGGAUUAAGAUAAAAUUUAAAUGCAAAAGUUUAAAAUUUUGAUCUGUUCGAUCAUUAAAAUCUU